CCCAGACUGUGUUGGGCUGGGCUGCUGUAAAACAUCUCAUAUUUGUUGAAAGAUUCUGUCCCAGAAACAGACUGCAGCCAAGAACUCUGACCUAAAGCCAUCUCAGGGACUGAAAAAAGAGCCUGUGGAUUGAGUGAAGUGUGUGUUUACCUACGUACCUAUAGUUGUAUGUGUAUUCAUUUACACAGACAAAACAGAUUUAUCUUUCUAUUCAGUUGUAGGACCUUUGACACUGUU